rnacentral:tRNA from 2 species
GGAGAGAUGGCAGAGCUUGGUUGAAUGCGCCUGACUCGAAAUCAGGUAGGCUAUUUUUAUAGUCUCGGGGGUUCGAAUCCCCCUCUCUCCG